rnacentral:rRNA from 1 species
CUUUUACAAUGAAGAGUUUGAUCCUGGCUCAGGAUGAACGCUAGCUACAGGCUUAACACAUGCAAGUCGAGGGGCAGCAUUUCAGUUUGCUUGCAAACUGGAGAUGGCGACCGGCGCACGGGUGAGUAACACGUAUCCAACCUGCCGAUAACUCGGGGAUAGCCUUUCGAAAGAAAGAUUAAUACCCGAUAGUAUAAUGAAACCGCAUGGUCUUAUUAUUAAAGAAUUUCGGUUAUCGAUGGGGAUGCGUUCCAUUAGGCAGUUGGUGAGGUAACGGCUCACCAAACCUUCGAUGGAUAGGGGUUCUGAGAGGAAGGUCCCCCACAUUGGAACUGAGACACGGUCCAAACUCCUACGGGAGGCAGCAGUGAGGAAUAUUGGUCAAUGGGCGCAGGCCUGAACCAGCCAAGUAGCGUGAAGGAUGACUGCCCUAUGGGUUGUAAACUUCUUUUAUAUGGGAAUAAAGUUUUCCACGUGUGGAAUUUUGUAUGUACCAUAUGAAUAAGGAUCGGCUAACUCCGUGCCAGCAGCCGCGGUAAUACGGAGGAUCCGAGCGUUAUCCGGAUUUAUUGGGUUUAAAGGGAGCGUAGGUGGACAGUUAAGUCAGUUGUGAAAGUUUGCGGCUCAACCGUAAAAUUGCAGUUGAUACUGGCUGUCUUGAGUACAGUAGAGGUGGGCGGAAUUCGUGGUGUAGCGGUGAAAUGCUUAGAUAUCACGAAGAACUCCGAUUGCGAAGGCAGCUCACUGGACUGCAACUGACACUGAUGCUCGAAAGUGUGGGUAUCAAACAGGAUUAGAUACCCUGGUAGUCCACACAGUAAACGAUGAAUACUCGCUGUUUGCGAUAUACAGUAAGCGGCCAAGCGAAAGCAUUAAGUAUUCCACCUGGGGAGUACGCCGGCAACGGUGAAACUCAAAGGAAUUGACGGGGGCCCGCACAAGCGGAGGAACAUGUGGUUUAAUUCGAUGAUACGCGAGGAACCUUACCCGGGCUUAAAUUGCAUUUGAAUAUAUUGGAAACAGUAUAGCCGUAAGGCAAAUGUGAAGGUGCUGCAUGGUUGUCGUCAGCUCGUGCCGUGAGGUGUCGGCUUAAGUGCCAUAACGAGCGCAACCCUUAUCUUUAGUUACUAACAGGUCAUGCUGAGGACUCUAGAGAGACUGCCGUCGUAAGAUGUGAGGAAGGUGGGGAUGACGUCAAAUCAGCACGGCCCUUACGUCCGGGGCUACACACGUGUUACAAUGGGGGGUACAGAAGGCAGCUACCUGGUGACAGGAUGCUAAUCCCAAAAGCCUCUCUCAGUUCGGAUCGAAGUCUGCAACCCGACUUCGUGAAGCUGGAUUCGCUAGUAAUCGCGCAUCAGCCAUGGCGCGGUGAAUACGUUCCCGGGCCUUGUACACACCGCCCGUCAAGCCAUGAAAGCCGGGGGUACCUGAAGUACGUAACCGCAAGGAGCGUCCUAGGGUAAAACUGGUAAUUGGGGCUAAGUCGUAACAAGGUAGCCGUACCGGAAGGUGCGGCUGGAACACCUCCUUUCU